rnacentral:rRNA from 1 species
GACGAACGCUGGCGGCGUGCUUAACACAUGCAAGUCGAACGGAAAGGCCCUGCUUUUGUGGGGUGCUCGAGUGGCGAACGGGUGAGUAACACGUGAGUAACCUGCCCCUGACUUUGGGAUAACUUCAGGAAACUGGGGCUAAUACCGGAUAGGAGCUCCUGCUGCAUGGUGGGGGUUGGAAAGUUUCGGCGGUUGGGGGUGGACUCGCGGCUUAUCAGCUUGUUGGUGGGGUAGUGGCUUACCAAGGCUUUGACGGGUAGCCGGCCUGAGAGGGUGACCGGCCACAUUGGGACUGAGAUACGGCCCAGACUCCUACGGGAGGCAGAAGUGGGGAAUAUUGCACAAUGGGCGGAAGCCUGACGCAGCAACGCCGCGUGCGGGAUGACGGCCUUCGGGUUGUAAACCGCUUUCGCCUGUGACGAAGCGUGAGUGACGGUAAUGGGUAAAGAAGCACCGGCUAACUACGUG